rnacentral:rRNA from 1 species
GAUCAUGGCUCAGAUUGAACGCUGGCGGCAGGCUUAACACAUGCAAGUCGAACGGUAACAUAAAGAAGCUUGCUUCUUUGAUGACGAGUGGCGGACGGGUGAGUAAUGCUUGGGAAUCUAGCUUAUGGAGGGGGAUAACUACGGGAAACUGUAGCUAAUACCGCGUAGAAUCGGGAGAUGAAAGUGUGGGACCUUCGGGCCACAUGCCAUGGGAUGAGCCCAAGUGGGAUUAGGUAGUUGG